rnacentral:rRNA from 1 species
GGCAAGAGCUCAAAUUUGAAAUCCGGCCCCCCUGGGGGCCUGAGUUGUAAUUUGCAGAGGAUGCUUCGGGCGCGACCGCGGUCCAAGUCCCCUGGAACGGGGCGUCGUAGAGGGUGAGAAUCCCGUCUCCGGCCGGCCGGUCUCGCCCGUGUGAAGCUCCUUCGACGAGUCGAGUUGUUUGGGAAUGCAGCUCCAAAUGGGUGGUAAAUUUCAUCUAAAGCUAAAUACUGGUCGGAGACCGAUAGCGCACAAGUAGAGUGAUCGAAAGAUGAAAAGCACUUUGAAAAGAGAGUUAAACAGCAUGUGAAAUUGUUGAAAGGGAAGCGCUUGCGACCAGAGUCGGCCGCGGGGGUUCAGCGGGCAUUCGUUGCCCGUGCAAUCCCCCGCGGCCGGGCCAGCGUCGGUUUCGACGGCCGGUCAAAGGCCCCCGGAAUGUGUCGCCUCUCGGGGCGUCUUAUAGCCGGGGUGCAAUGCGGCCAGUCGGGACCGAGGAACGCGCUCCGGCACGGACGCU